rnacentral:rRNA from 1 species
UACGUAGGGGCUAGCGUUAUCCGGAAUUACUGGGCGUAAAGGGUGCGUAGGUGGUUUCUUAAGUCAGAGGUGAAAGGCUACGGCUCAACCGUAGUAAGCCUUUGAAACUGGGAAACUUGAGUGCAGGAGAGGAGAGUGGAAUUCCUAGUGUAGCGGUGAAAUGCGUAGAUAUUGGGAGGAACACCAGUGGCGAAGGCGGCUUUCUGGACUGUAACUGACACUGAGGUACGAAAGCGUGGGGAGCAAACAGGAUUAGAUACCCUGGUAGUCCCUGAGCGGGCU